GUCUCCAAGCAGCCCGCGUUGCGCAGCGCCCAGAACGGCCUGGAUUGGGAAACCUGGCGCUCAGCGCAAGUGAGGAUCUGUCCCCUCCCCCCGUGGAUCUGCCUUCCCGGCGGCGCCCCCUCCUCAUCCAUCUUGGGAGAUGAAAAUGUCGUUUUAUUGGAUGCCGAGGCCAGAUCUGGGUGAUGGGGCUCGGCCAGUCUAGCGCAUUUUCUUCAUGCAUAUUGACGAGAUGGUAAUGAGCGCGUUUGCAUUGUUGCGUGGAGAUGCUGCGUUUCCCGCCGCAGUUCCCAGAGGGCGAGGGUGGCGGGGGCCACGAGUGCCCACAGUGGGCACCCGGUCUAGUGGCUGCAGCUGGCCCUCAGCGGGUUCACGGUGCUUGGGGCCCGGGGAAGGAAGUGAUCUCGCAGAGCUCGCGGUCGGGCCGCCACCUCCUGGGCUUCCCCACAAAGGCCGGCCGCCCUCCCCUCAUUAAAGCCUCGUUACUGGAA